UAUACCUGGCGAAUUGCCAAUACGAAGCUAAAGUGACCAGGUUUAAAAUGUAAAUAUGUUAAAAGAGUAUUUUAUAGAAUUUAAAUAGUUUCAUUGUUAUUGAUAUCUGUAUUAAUAUAGGGAGGUGACCAUUCUACAUUGAUCCAGUGCCUUUUUAUGGGAUUCGAAACUGUGACUGUGAGAUGUAUGAGAGUUUGACUUCUAGGUGGGCAAUUCUACUUUCACUUUAAACGGUAAGUUGAAAAGAGCAUGCUGCAUCUUUGAUGUAAAAUAUCUCGAAAAGGAAUCAAGGACCCUAUUGCAAAUUUGGCCUUGUUGGAAAGGAUGGCAGGUACCUGAGUGUAUCUCGACCCAUUUCCAGGCUAGCAUCAGAUGUCAUGAUGGACCUUUAAAAUCUUUCACAUGUGUACUUUCAAGAACCAUAUACAUUAUUUUUGAAAAUUGGUUGCCAUGGUAAUAAAAUCUGAAAAUUAAAACAUGGGCUUCUGAAGGCGAAUUUUCCUCCAUUUCCUGGUAGUUUGUGACCUUAGCACUUUUACCAAUAGUAAACCAAUUGCAACAUUGGUAACACUGGCAAUAAAUUUUUUUAAAUGUCUGAGAACAAGCAGCUUAGUAUAGUUGCAUUAAUCAUGCACCUCGUCUAUGCAUCACUCAUGCUCUUACUGGUAUUUUCUAACACAUACAGCCAUUGAAACAAAGCUCAGCAGAUCCUAUAACAAGAAUCCAUAGUUACUAUGAGAUCACUGUUCCUCAAUACUCUGUUGACAACUUUGAGAUGCACUUCUGCCAAACCAGAAAAACCUGAUAAUCCACAUGCAUGUAACCGGAAGAAAGAAAAUGCAACGGACCAAACCAGGAUUCGAACCCGGGCCCCCGAAUCUCUAGUCAUAUGCUCUACCAAUUGAGCUAACUGGCCACCAGCGAUCGAACCUGACUGCAACAUGUGCAAGACUCUCACAAGUUGAUGCAUAUUAAAGCAACUGGCUCACGACUCAUAACUCGCUAAUUGUUUAAAAGUUCCUAUGUAUUCUUCAUUACAUACUAGACAUAAUAAGGAUGAUUCCUGGGACAAGAUUCUUAUUCUGGACAGUAUACUACUCAGACAAAAGCUGGUUCAUUAUACAAUCAAGCUCUAUACUCUGGUAUUGUGUCUGCAUCAAGUGCACCUCCAGCAUUUCCAGUUUGUGGACUCUGCACAAGUAUCUUGUCAAUUGAAUCUUUAAAAAAAAUUUGAAGUACCUGUUAAGUGAAUCUCACACUUUAUUUUGUGCAUUUGUAAAGCACUUAACAUGUCAUGAACAUUGCUUAUAGGUCCAAGUUUAGGAUUACUCAUGUUCAAAUGCUUGAAAAAGACAUUAAGGUGGAUCAAUCUUCAUGUGAUGUCAUAGGUUUUUGCAAAAAUCUUUAUUUAUAAUUUAAUUAAAUCAAACUUUGCGCAUGAUAGAAAUGUAUCUUUCAGGAAAAUUUCAUUCACUGCAUAAAAUAAAAAAAUCUGGUAAGGCCAAUUAAAAUUAAUUGAUAGAUUAUCAUCCCCAACCGCCCCUUAAAAAAAGGGUCCACCAUGAUUUUUUUUUAUUUUCGCAAAAUUUACGAUUUCAAACAAACUUGCUUCCCUGUGACAUAAGUGAAUUGAUUAAAGUCACAGAAUAUUGGUUUUAUAUCUUCUACCAAGGAUUUUUUGAAUGUUAACUUUAUAAACAUGUUGUGUGAUGCCUUUUGUCAUUAAUUUUGUUUUCUCUGGAAAUAAAAAUUGAAAAAUAAAAUCCUCCCACCCGCCCCAUAUUUUUUUGUGACCCCGGAUGAUAAUCUGCUAAUUAAGUUGAAUUGGCCUAAACUACUUAUACUGAAAAAGUUUAUAUUGUCCAUAGAUAAUCAAUUAUUUACAAUAAAAAAAAUGUUGUCAAGGGCAAUAACUCCUAUGCUGGUAUUUCUUCUACUGCAUGUCUGUUAUACAAUGAUUUCCCUAAUAUCCUCAUUUAAUUUAUCUAUGAAUUAGCAGUUUGUUUUAACAAUUUUUUAUCUAUUCUUAUUAUUCCGUGUAACGAAAAUGUGUGAUUUUCUGAUGUUAACAUAUACUUCUGUUUUGUAUGCCUUCAGACAUCUUUAAAAAGUGGCAACAUACACAUUUUCUUUGGUUAUUAAUUAAAAACUAAAUUGAGUGGAAAUUAAUAGUUUUUCCACUCUCAACCAUUAAUAUUGAUAAAUCACUUGAGGAUGGAAAACUGUUAUUUUUUUAUUUUUACCUUUCCGCAAAAAGUGUUGUUACUUUUCUACAAAUAAAUAUACAGCUAUUAUUGUACCCAAGCAUUACAUUUCCGCAAUUUACCUAGCUGUGGCAAUAAGUUCAACUCGUUUUAUUAGAAGAUCUUAUGUGUCUGCAGAAUCUAAGACUAAGUUUCAACCACAAAUUGCAUCAACUCCAAAUAUAGAAAUGAUUGAUUUUAUCUUGCUUAACAUCUCGCUCGAGAACUUUUCACUCAAUCAUAUGGAGAAGUCACCAAGACCGGUGAAGGGCUUCAAAUUUAAGCCUAUGCUCGGCGCUUAGGGCCAUUGAGCAGUGAGGGUUCUUUAGCGUGCCACACCUACUGUAACACGGAACUUCCGUUUUUAAGGUCAUCUCCGAGGACCCGUGACAAUCACACCUGAUGCCGAGCAUUUGGCGAUGGAACUGUCACUACCUGUUCCAACGACUAAGAUCUGUUGCAGCCGGGAUUUGAAUCCCAGCCUUCUGCAUGUGGGGCAAACGCUCUAACUUCUCGGCCACCGCGGCGGUGCUCAGAUAUAGGAAGGAAAGCACACUACAAAUGGGCCAGAGUCAUCUCAUGUCCAUUUCCAUUCUAUUCCUCACACUUCAUGGUAUGCACCAAUAAAAAUAUGUUUUGAAGGAUUUAAAUUUUGGGGUAAUGUUUUUCCAUUGAAUUUUUAAUUCGAAAAUGUUGAGGUAAAUAUGGAGUUUUAGCAAUAUCAUUUGAAACAUUGACAAAUUAUAGGUUGUUUUUUUUUUUUGGGGGG